CAUGCAGAGGUCAGCUGCUUUGACAAUGUUGCACUACUGUACCAUGCGCUAAAGCAGUGCAAUAGUAUUGUCAUAGCAUUUGGCCUUUGUCCUGCACUA
rnacentral:pre_miRNA from 1 species